UACGAAGGGUGCAAGCGUUAUUCGGAAUCAUUGGGCGUAAAGCGCGCGCAGGCGGAUUAAUAAGUCAGGUGUGAAAUCUCGAGGCUCAACCUCGAAACUGCGCCUGAAACUAUUAGUCUAGAGUGUUGGAGGGGGUAGGGGAAUUUCACGUGUAGGGGUAAAAUCCGUAGAGAUGUGAAGGAACACCGGAGGCGAAGGCGCCUACCUGGACAACUACUGACGCUGAGGCACGAAAGCGUGGGGAGCAAACAGG
rnacentral:rRNA from 1 species